GCUGCGGUUGCCGGGGCGACACCGGCGGCGGCCGAGGGGAGAUCGGGACCGCGGGGAAUGGGGGACAGCUUUAUCAGCGAUGAGAAGUAGCAGCAGCCCUUAGUGAUGGGUGAUGUUUUAGCGUACGAAGCUGAGUUACUUGGACUAGUGAAAGAGUAUUUGGAUUUUGCCGGAUUUCAAGAAACAGUGAAAGUACUUAAAAAGGAAUGUAAAAUAAAAGGGAAGCCACUACCUCAGCCAGCAGAUGUUUCCUCAAAAGAUUCAUUGCCUGUUCAGGAAGAUCUACUCACAGCAUUUGAAAAUGGUGAUCAGAAAGUUUUCUUCCAGCUCUGGGAGGAGCAUAUUUUUUCUUCAGUCCAUGACAGUGAUCCAGCUGCUCAGAACCUGGAGUUCUAUCUCCACAUCUACUUUGCCACCUUCCUCUUGAAACAAACUAUGGGAAAGCCUGACAAAGCUGAAUUUGAGGAUAGGAUUUCUUAUUUUAAGGCAUACCUGGAAACAAAAGGAACUGCACUGAGCCAGACUACAGAGUUUCUUCCCUUCUAUGCUUUGCCUUUUGUUCCAAACCCCAUGGUGCAUCCUUCAUUUAAAGAACUUUUCCAGGAUUCUUGGACAUUGGAUUUAAGGACAAGAUUGGAAAAGUUCCUGUCUCUGACUCUCAAAGCCAGACAGACUCCUCGGCUUCUCACUAUAUUUAAGGAGAGUGGACAGUGCAACAAAGAAAUGAUGCAACAUCUUCAUCAACAGUUAGUGAAGUGCGAGCACAGGUACAUGACCCACCUGAAACGAUUUCACAAAUUGCAGGUGGACUACCAUAACCUCCUUGGAGUCACUGCAGAGCUGGUGGAUUCUCUGGAGGCCACAGUCAUUGGCAAGACGAUUACACCAGAGUAUCUUCAAAGUGUUUGUGCUUGCUUGUUUAGCAGUCGUACGAAGCAAAUGGUAGCACACGGCAUUGACUUCACAAGACCUGGAACUGGAUAUUACUCUAUGAGCCCUUGUGAUGACGGAUAUGCUUCCACACUGUUACGAGCAUCUUUAGCCUCUAUGAAGACACAGGAGGUGCCAUUGUUGCCCUCUUUGGAUUAUGAGAAGUUGAAGAAAGAUUUGAUUACAGGGAGUGAUCGUCUCAAGGCCCUCUUACUGCAGGCUCUGCGCUGGCGCUUGACAACAUCAUAUCCUGGAGAACAGAGAGACACUGUCAUGCAAGCCUACAUCAGUAAUGACCUCCUAGAUUGCCACAGCAACUGUCAGAGAAGCGUCCUCCAAUUGUUAUAUUCUAAGAGUGAGGUAGUCAGACAGUAUAUGGCAAGGCUCAUCAAUGCUUUUGCUUCACUGAUGGAAGGUCGUGCCUACCUUUCUCAGAACCCAACAUUGCUGCAAAUGCUGGAGGACAGACUGAAAGCUGAAGACAAGGAUUCCCUUACAUGGGAGAAUGUUCUGGGGGCUCUGCAGAAAUUCAGCCUCAGGCGUUCACUGCAGUCGGCAAUGAUCAAAGAUGGGCUCAUUUUCUGGCUGGUUGAUGUUCUAAUAGACCCAGAUUGCCUGUCUGAUUACAACCUGGAGUAUUGUGUUGCCUUGCUCAUGAAUCUUUGUCUGCGGAGUGCAGGGAAGAAAAUAUGUGCAAGUAUCCCAAACCACAUGCUCAGAGUUCUUUCUAGUCUUCUUGGCCAUGAGAAUCUUAAGAUCCAGUCAUAUGUGCAUGGAGCACUGUACAGUAUUCUGGCCAUCCCUUCUGUCCGAGAAGAAGCCAAAGAAAUGGGAAUGGAAGAAAUUCUGCGCUGCUUUAUCAAGGAAAGAAGUGAAGAGAUGGUUCGACAGAUUGAAUAUGUUAUCAAGCAACUCAAUUCAGAAGAGCCAUUCAAUGACAGUAUUGUGUCUGAUGAUGAAGAGGAAGAGGAGUAUGAGCAAGUGAUCGUUGCCCAGUCUACAAGUGUUCAUCCUUUUGCCAUUAUCUGGUUUCUUUUUCACACAUACCCAGCUUUCCAGGAGGACCGUGACAUCCUGGAGCCUGAUCUGGACAAAGAUGAGGUUUUGCUGCCUCAGCUGGGGGAGCUUUCAGGAGAGAAGCUGCUAACAACCGAGUACUUGGGAAUAAUGACUCACACUCCAAAAACUAAGAAGAAGCAAUUUGCUGGUGUCCAUCAGAGUACAGAUGAGCCUGUCCAGAGACCUGUGACACCAGCUUAUCACAGAGCUGCAUAUCUAAUGCAAAAAACCAGUACUAAUUCUUGUCACAAUAGGGAUGAGAAGCUGCAGUCUCCACCGAGUGGUCCUUCUUCUCUUUGUGGUGGGAGCCAGUCCAGCAUUUCUGACCUCUGCAUUUCCCCUUCAUCAGUUGAAAUGAAGCCAUCUGAAGUAUUCUCAUCAGGCCAUAAAAUGGACCAACACAUCCCAGCUGGUGAUACUUUGUCUUCUCGAUCUGCUGACUUCACUGAGGACAAAGUAAAUGGUCAAUCACACAGUGAGUUUGCCUCAGCCUUCACCAGCAAACCUAAGAUCCCUCGUACUCCUGACGGGCAGAGCACCAGCCCUAGAAAGGGAAAGGUCCCAGCCAUUGCCCCCCAGUUCUCUCAGUCUGAACCCCAACAAACAAGCCAUCCAAGCUCCUCAGGAUCAUCCACAAGGAGCAGACAGAACACUUGCUCAUCCCACUGUGUAACUUGAAGUCGGAUCCCUGUGUGUGUCUACACUGCAGCUGAAUGUAGAGCAGAUGUCAGGCAGCUCAGGAGAUGGCUCAGGGCAGCCUGGCAACUCUGCAUGGGCGUGCUGAAGCUGUUUGCAGUGUACCAAGUUCUGUCUAAGGCACACUGGAGCUAGGGCAGUACAAAAAUCUCUACCAGAAGAAUGGGGAAUGUUUUUUGUCAGGAGUGCAACUGGACCCUGGUGACUCCCUUUCAGUUCUUUCAAUAUCCCCUGAAAAGGGAUUGCCACAAAUACAUUCUGCAUUUUUAAGUUGCAGCAUCAGGAGUUAAAGUGCCUUUCUGCAUGUUUUUUGUGAUGUUUGUGUCCCUGUACAAGUUGAACAAGUGUUGCCCUCAGGCAGCUUCUAUCUUGUAAUAAAUCCUGCCUUCAGUUGACAGACCCUUUCUUGCUGUUUUUCUGCAGGCAGCCAGUCCUACAGGAAGUGAGAACAGUUCCUUUCCUCGAGAAUCACCUGUCACAUUGUUGAAGGACAGAGCCAGCUUCCUGUAAUGAGCUUUACUGGUGACCUACAGAGGAGAGUGGGGUUGUUGACAUCGCAGGCCUUGCACAGGGAUUCGGGAUUAUCUGAUGGGAUGCGUCUGUGGUCUCUAAAGCUGGCUAAGACAAGGGCCUUGUUAUUACAAUUCAAGGUCUCAGCAGCAGCCCAGGACUGGCAUGGGAGAUGGAUAUUCUCUGACAGUUUACUCUAAAGUGACAUUGCCACCUUGACAAGAAACUCUUGCUCUCUGCCUUCUGUGCCAGAGUAAAUGGCCUUUGGAGACAGAAUGUAGGCUCAGCCCAGGAGUCUUACCAAGCAACUGUCUUUUUUACAUAUUGCUUGCUGAAGCAGCCUGCCAAUUGCUUUUUUAAAUUUUGCCUUUAUGACUGGGUUGGAGGUAUCUGUGUUGAAAGGAUCUGCACGAGGAGGGACAGUGUCUGCCACAUGUGCAGAGCCUUCCUGCCCGGAGCAGUGGGGGCGAGAUCUGUCUGGCCUCCAGACCCUGGAGAGGAGGUAUUUUAUCAAUUUCUGGUUGACCUGUAGCAGAUGAAAAACACUGUUACAGUGCCCACGGCAGUAUCCAGGCUCACCUCUGAGGUCUUUACCUGCAGCAAUUACUCCUAUUCCUUCUUUCUGCAUUUUUUUCUUAAUUCUACUGUUAAACAUUUGUGGAAUGAAAAAUCUAUUUUUUUUCCACUGGAAUGAAGAGCUUUGCUUCUUCUUCAUAGAAGAAACCAUGAGAAUGUGAACAGAUCAGAAGCAGCUUUCUCUUUACGUGUAAUUGUGUUCCAUCUUCUUUGGUCUUUGUUGCUUUUUUUAUGAUCUUCAGGGCAAUGGCUGUUUAUGUCUUUAUGGAAUUUGUGCUGGUCUUUGGUGCAUAUGAAGUGCGGGCUAGGCAAGAGAGAUCAGGAAUACUUCCACUAAAUAAAAAACAGCAGUUAGUUCUGCGAGUGAAUUACAAA